rnacentral:rRNA from 1 species
UACGUAGGGUGCAAGCGUUGUCCGGAAUUAUUGGGCGUAAAGAGCUCGUAGGCGGUGUGUCACGUCGGCCGUGAAAACCUGGGGCUUAACUCUGGGCGUGCGGUCGAUACGGGCAUCACUAGAGUUCGGCAGGGGAGACUGGAAUUCCUGGUGUAGCGGUGAAAUGCGCAGAUAUCAGGAGGAACACCGGUGGCGAAGGCGGGUCUCUGGGCCGAUACUGACGCUCAUGCACGAAAGCGUGGGGAGCAAACAGG